GACGAACGCUGGCGGCGUGCCUAAUACAUGCAAGUCGAACGCACUCUCGUUUAGAUUGAAGGAGCUUGCUCCUGAUUGAUAAACAUUUGAGUGAGUGGCGGACGGGUGAGUAACACGUGGGUAACCUGCCCUAAAGUGGGGGAUAACAUUUGGAAACAGAUGCUAAAUACCGCAUAAAACCUAAACACCGCAUGGUGUAGGGUUGAAAGAUGGUUUCGGCUAUCACUUUAGGAUGGACCCGCGGUGCAUUAGUUAGUUGGUGAGGUAAAGGCUCACCAAGACCGUGAUGCAUAGCCGACCUGAGAGGGUAAUCGGCCACACUGGGACUGAGACACGGCCCAGACUCCUACGGGAGGCAGCAGUAGGGAAUCUUCCACAAUGGACGAAAGUCUGAUGGAGCAACGCCGCGUGAGUGAAGAAGGUUUUCGGAUCGUAAAACUCUGUUGUUGGAGAAGAAUGUAUCUGAUAGUAACUGAUCAGGUAGUGACGGUAUCC
rnacentral:rRNA from 1 species